UACGUAGGGUGCAGGCGUUAAUCGGAAUUACUGGGCGUAAAGCGUGCGUAGGUGGUUUGUUAAGUCUGAUGUGAAAGCCCUGGGCUCAACCUGGGAAUGGCAUUGGAUACUGGCGAGCUAGAGUGCGGUAGAGGGUAGUGGAAUUCCCGGUGUAGCAGUGAAAUGCGUAGAGAUCGGGAGGAACAUCUGUGGCGAAGGCGACUACCUGGACCAGCACUGACACUGAGGCACGAAAGCGUGGGGAGCAAACAGG
rnacentral:rRNA from 1 species